rnacentral:misc_RNA from 1 species
GAUGAAGAACGCAGCGAAAUGCGAUAAGUAAUGUGAAUUGCAGAAUUCAGUGAAUCAUCGAAUCUUUGAACGCACAUUGCGCCCCCUGGUAUUCCGGGGGGCAUGCCUGUCCGAGCGUCAUUACAACCCUCAAGCUCAGCUUGGUAUUGGGCCCCGCCGCUCCGGCGGGCCCUAAAGUCAGUGGCGGUGCCGUCCGGCUCCGAGCGUAGUAAUUCUUCUCGCUCUGGAGGUCCGGUCGUGUGCUCGCCAGCAACCCCCAAUUUUUUUCAGGUUGACCUCGUAUCAGGUAGGGAUACCCGCUGAACUUAAGCAUAUCAAUAAGCGGAGGA